GAUGAACGCUGACGGAAUGCUUAACACAUGCAAGUCGAUGGGGAAGUGGUGCUUGCACCCUGGUAACCAUGGCGGACGGGUGAGUAACGCGUAAGGAACUUGCCUGCGGGACUGGGAUAACAGCAGGAAACUGCUGAUAAUACCGGAUAAGGUCAUUAAGCUGCAUAGCUUAGUGAUGAAAGGAGACGCCUGCGGAGAGCCUUGCGUCCUAUUAGCUAGUUGGAGGGGUAACGGCCCACCAAGGCGAAGAUAGGUAGCCGGCCUGAGAGGGUGGACGGCCACAAGGGGACUGAGAUACGGCCCUUACUCCUACGGGAGGCAGCAGUGGGGAAUAUUGGACAAUGGGGGCAACCCUGAUCCAGCAAUUCUGUGUGCACGAAGACGGUUUUCGGAUUGUAAAGUGCUUUCAGCAGGGAAGAAGGAAGUGACGGUACCUGCAGAAGAAGCGACGGCUAAAUACGUG
rnacentral:rRNA from 1 species